UUAAGCGACUAAGCGUACACGGUGGAUGCCCUGGCAGUCAGAGGCGAUGAAGGACGUGCUAAUCUGCGAAAAGCGUCGGUAAGGUGAUAUGAACCGUUAUAACCGGCGAUGUCCGAAUGGGGAAACCCAGUGCAAUUCGUUGCACUAUCGUUAACUGAAUACAUAGGUUAACGAGGCGAACCGGGGGAACUGAAACAUCUAAGUACCCCGAGGAAAAGAAAUCAACCGAGAUUCCCCCAGUAGCGGCGAGCGAACGGGGAGCAGCCCAGAGUCUGAAUCAGCUUGUGUGUUAGUGGAACGGUCUGGAAAGUCCGACGGUACAGGGUGAUAGUCCCGUACACCAAAAUGCACAGGCUGUGAACUCGAAGAGUAGGGCGGGACACGUGGUAUCCUGUCUGAAUAUGGGGGGACCAUCCUCCAAGGCUAAAUACUCCUGACUGACCGAUAGUGAACCAGUACCGUGAGGGAAAGGCGAAAAGAACCCCGGCGAGGGGAGUGAAAAAGAACCUGAAACCGUGUACGUACAAGCAGUGGGAGCACCUUCGGGUGUGACUGCGUACCUUUUGUAUAAUGGGUCAGCGACUUAUAUUCUGUAGCAAGGUUAACCGUAUAGGGGAGCCGCAGGGAAACCGAGUCUUAACUGGGCGUUAAGUUGCAGGGUAUAGACCCGAAACCCGGUGAUCUAGCCAUGGGCAGGUUGAAGGUUGGGUAACACUAACUGGAGGACCGAACCGACUAAUGUUGAAAAAUUAGCGGAUGACUUGUGGCUGGGGGUGAAAGGCCAAUCAAACCGGGAGAUAGCUGGUUCUCCCCGAAAGCUAUUUAGGUAGCGCCUCGUGAACUCAUCUUCGGGGGUAGAGCACUGUUUCGGCUAGGGGGUCAUCCCGACUUACCAACCCGAUGCAAACUACGAAUACCGAAGAAUGUUAUCACGGGAGACACACGGCGGGUGCUAACGUCCGUCGUGAAGAGGGAAACAACCCAGACCGCCAGCUAAGGUCCCAAAGUCAUGGUUAAGUGGGAAACGAUGUGGGAAGGCACAGACAGCCAGGAUGUUGGCUUAGAAGCAGCCAUCAUUUAAAGAAAGCGUAAUAGCUCACUGGUCGAGUCGGCCUGCGCGGAAGAUGUAACGGGGCUAAACCAUGCACCGAAGCUGCGGCAGCGACACUAUGUGUUGUUGGGUAGGGGAGCGUUCUGUAAGCCUGCGAAGGUGACCUGUGAGGGUUGCUGGAGGUAUCAGAAGUGCGAAUGCUGACAUAAGUAACGAUAAAGCGGGUGAAAAGCCCGCUCGCCGGAAGACCAAGGGUUCCUGUCCAACGUUAAUCGGGGCAGGGUGAGUCGACCCCUAAGGCGAGGCCGAAAGGCGUAGUCGAUGGGAAACAGGUUAAUAUUCCUGUACUUGGUGUUACUGCGAAGGGGGGACGGAGAAGGCUAUGUUAGCCGGGCGACGGUUGUCCCGGUUUAAGCAUGUAGGCUGGUUGUCCAGGCAAAUCCGGAUAAUCAAGGCUGAGGUGUGAUGACGAGGCACUACGGUGCUGAAGUAACAAAUGCCCUGCUUCCAGGAAAAGCCUCUAAGCAUCAGGUAACAUCAAAUCGUACCCCAAACCGACACAGGUGGUCAGGUAGAGAAUACCAAGGCGCUUGAGAGAACUCGGGUGAAGGAACUAGGCAAAAUGGUGCCGUAACUUCGGGAGAAGGCACGCUGGUGUGUAGGUGAAGUCCCUGCGGAUGGAGCUGAGACCAGUCGAAGAUACCAGCUGGCUGCAACUGUUUAUUAAAAACACAGCACUGUGCAAACACGAAAGUGGACGUAUACGGUGUGACGCCUGCCCGGUGCCGGAAGGUUAAUUGAUGGGGUUAUCCGUAAGGAGAAGCUCUUGAUCGAAGCCCCGGUAAACGGCGGCCGUAACUAUAACGGUCCUAAGGUAGCGAAAUUCCUUGUCGGGUAAGUUCCGACCUGCACGAAUGGCGUAAUGAUGGCCAGGCUGUCUCCACCCGAGACUCAGUGAAAUUGAACUCGCUGUGAAGAUGCAGUGUACCCGCGGCAAGACGGAAAGACCCCGUGAACCUUUACUAUAGCUUGACACUGAACAUUGAGCCUUGAUGUGUAGGAUAGGUGGGAGGCUUUGAAGCGUGGACGCCAGUCUGCGUGGAGCCAACCUUGAAAUACCACCCUUUAAUGUUUGAUGUUCUAACGUUGGCCCCUUACCGGGGUUGCGGACAGUGUCUGGUGGGUAGUUUGACUGGGGCGGUCUCCUCCCAAAGCGUAACGGAGGAGCACGAAGGUUAGCUAAUCCUGGUCGGACAUCAGGAGGUUAGUGCAAUGGCAUAAGCUAGCUUGACUGCGAGCGUGACGGCGCGAGCAGGUGCGAAAGCAGGUCAUAGUGAUCCGGUGGUUCUGAAUGGAAGGGCCAUCGCUCAACGGAUAAAAGGUACUCCGGGGAUAACAGGCUGAUACCGCCCAAGAGUUCAUAUCGACGGCGGUGUUUGGCACCUCGAUGUCGGCUCAUCACAUCCUGGGGCUGAAGUAGGUCCCAAGGGUAUGGCUGUUCGCCAUUUAAAGUGGUACGCGAGCUGGGUUUAGAACGUCGUGAGACAGUUCGGUCCCUAUCUGCCGUGGGCGCUGGAGAAUUGAGGGGGGCUGCUCCUAGUACGAGAGGACCGGAGUGGACGCAUCACUGGUGUUCGGGUUGUCAUGCCAAUGGCACUGCCCGGUAGCUAAAUGCGGAAGAGAUAAGUGCUGAAAGCAUCUAAGCACGAAACUUGCCCCGAGAUGAGUUCUCCCUGAGACUAUAAGUCUCCUGAAGGAACGUUAAAGACGAUGACGUUGAUAGGCCGGGUGUGUAAGCGCAGCGAUGCGUUGAGCUAACCGGUACUAAUGAACCGUGAGGCUUAACCUU
rnacentral:rRNA from 1 species